UCAUCCCUCUUGAUUGUAAAUUAAUCUGUUUUUGACAGAGAGUUUUCCCUCUCUCUCUCUCUUCAUUGUAUUACAGUGAGAAAAUGAUCAAUUCCGAUUGCAGAGUUUUUCCUCUGCUUCUUCCAUAAUUCUCUCAAAUUUCUCUUUCAGUUUAUAACACGUUAUCAGCACGAGUUCGCUCUAAAAUAUACAAACUGUUUUCGUUGUUGAAUGUUUAUUUCAACUGGCAGAGAUGGGUGGUCAACUCAGCAGAUGCUGGUCAACUUGAGUUUCUGACCCAGGAAUUGGAAAUCGAUGGAAAAAUGGUGAAGGCCCAGAUCUGGGACACUGCUGGUCAAGAACGCUUCAAGGCUGUGACCUCUGCUUACUGCUCUUAUUGUCUAUGAUAUCAGUAGGAAGACCACCUUUGAGAGUGUCAAGCGCUGGCUCGAUGAGUAGUGGAUGACUGUACCAACCAUCAGAUUCACAAGCUCAGUUCUUGCAAUCAAUGGCUCUCAGCAAAUGCGUCUCUUUGAUUUUCAUAGUUAUGGCGAUCUCAACCCAACCCAACCAUCAAUGAUAAUAUUAAAUAUCACUGAUCAUUAUAAAGGCAGAACUUUGAAGCAUUUCAUGACAUGGGUCAUCAUCUUCACCUCCACAACACCAGAGAUGGCGUCGGGCCCAAUGACUCGCCGAGCUCACUCGUUCAAGCGCAACCCCAACACCAGCGCCAACAAUGGCAGCUCACAUGGCAAUAGUAACAGUAAUAACAGCAGCGGCAAUGUUGGUGGUGUUGUCCAUGGAGAAAGCCUGCUGGGCAAAGCCAUUCAUGGGAGCAAAUGGUAGGCAUGGGAUUAAAAAAAAAAAGAAAAAAAAAAAAGAGAAUGAAAUUGCCAGCAGUUGCAUGCUUCGUGGCUAUGGUGGCAGCCUCGUGUGACGGCGUUCGUUUGCUUUUGGCGGUGAUGAGAGGUUGGCACAGAUUCAACAGUUGGGCAAGUACGGAGAUGAUGAACAGGGGAUCAAAACAGAGAGAGAGAAUGAUGGAGCAUGUGGUGGAGAUGCGGCUACCUAACUUUUGCCUACCUAACCAGCAGUUCACAUCAGGACCAGAGGUUCCUAUCCUCAUCAUACAAUUACAUCAGGACUUGAAUAUCCUUGAUGAUGAUAUUGAUAUGAGAGCUGGCAGUCUCUCCGAUACUAUACAUGUAAACAAGGGAUCGGACUCGAAGAUCCUUGAUCCUUGACAUGUGAAUAAGGACCUGGGGUUCCUUAAUGAUGUAACAGUACCGUAUUGGUUCAUAGUGCCGUACACAUGGAUGAUAACUGUACUGGCAGAUGUACUGUAUACAUGAAUAGAUACGUAUUCAUGACUUGAUGAACAGUACUAUUCACAUGAAUAGUGACGUAUGCAUAAAUAUUAACCAUUUUGAGUAAA